rnacentral:rRNA from 1 species
UACGUAGGGUGCAAGCGUUAAUCGGAAUUACUGGGCGUAAAGCGUGCGCAGGCGGUUUUUGUAAGUUUGUCGUGAAAUCCCCCGGGCUCAACCUGGGAAUGGCGAUGAAGACUGCAAGGCUAGAAUCUGGCAGAGGGGGGGGUAGAAUUCCACGUGUAGCAGUGAAAUGCGUAGAGAUGUGGAGGAACACCGAUGGCGAAGGCAGCCCCCCUGGGCCUGCACUGACGCUCAUGCACGAAAGCGUGGGGAGCAAACAGG